GUGGCUGCUGCGGAUGGAGGGACCGCUGAUGGUGGUUUGCCUUCUCCCCGGCAGAUCUGUAUCUUCGUCGGGGAGACGCUGCUGUUUUCUAACUGGGCCAUCACUGCAGACAUCCUCAUGUACGUGGUCAUCCCCACGCGGCGCGCCACUGCCGUGGCCUUGCAGAGCUUCACCUCCCACCUGCUGGGGGACGCCGGGAGCCCCUACCUCAUUGGCUUUGGUGAACCAGCUGACGAUGCCGCCCGCAUCUGUGAAAGUCUGAGGUGGUGCCAUUGGGACAAUGAAGAACCCACACUCCCACCUCGUCUGGGAGGUGUCCUACAGCGUCCGGGACCGGCUGGGCUGCCCCAAAGCUUUCUGUGUGAUCCACGGCUAGGCACCCACCCUCUCUGGCCCAGGCCUGCUGAGUGGCCCUGGCAUCAAGAAGAGGCUGUGUCCUCAGUUACCCUGGAAGGAUGUGUGUGUUGGAGCCACACGGUUGGACAGAUUCCCAGCCCUAGGUUUGGACCGCAGGGCCCCUGGGGCCAAGGAAGAAGACAGCCCCAAGUGGGUGUCCGGGGAGAGCCUGGCCUGCCACCAGCUUAUGUGAUCUUGGGCAAGUCCCUGCCCUCCCUGGAACGAAGGGCCAGGGGGCUGGACUUUCCCACACAACUUUCUGGGCAAAGCACGAUCUGCAGCUUUGAAGACUCAACAGACCCUGGACCAUACAGAGAGCAGGUGGCCCAGGCCUCAGGGCGGCAGUCCCGGCUUUGAGACUCACGCGAGGGCCUGGUGUGCAGGGACCACUGCUCAGCUGGGCCUCGGACCUUGGGGAUAUUGGACUCAAC
rnacentral:sRNA from 1 species